ensembl:misc_RNA 7SK 7SK RNA
GGAUGUGAGGGCGAUCUGGCUGCGACAUCUGUCACCCCAUUGAUCGCCAGGGUUGAUUUGGCUGAGCUGGCUGGCUAGGCGGGUGUCCCCUUCCUCCCUCACCGCUCCAUGUGCGUCCCUCCCGAAGCUGCGCACUCGGUCGAAGAGGACGACCAUCCCCGAUAGAGGAGGACCGGUCUUCGGUCAAGGGUAUACGAGUAGCUGCCCUCCCCUGCUAGAACCUCCAAACAAGCUCUCAAAACUUCCUCCCUCCUCAUGGUUUUUCCUAGGCUCCAUUUGGACUCUGGCAUAUCCUUGAGUGUCAUUCUUGUUAUACAUACAGUGGUUCUUCAAGAUUUAUUAGGAUUUGCCAAUCCAA